CAGCUGGCCAGUUUCUUAUCUGUGGUUUUCAGGUUCUAAUAGAGCAGGAGACUUCAUCAACAUUAGCCAAAAACUUAAAGUCUUGCACUUUAAAAAUUAGCCGAAUGAUGCUUUCAGCCCUUUACAUCUAUCUCGACUAAAAAUCCCAAUAGAAAAUUGACUGAGCCAUCGAAGCCAUAUUCCCGGGGUCACCCUCCGGGUCUGUUUCUAAUUUGUGGUUUGCAAGUUCUAACUGAGUGAGAACUUCAUCAAUAUUUUUUAAUCACUCGAAGACUUGCACUUUAAAAUUAGCCGAACGAUGCUUUCAGCCCUCCACAUUUGUCUCGACUGAAAAUCUCAAUAGGUUCUAAAUGAGCGGGAAACUUCAUCAACAUUAGCCGAACACUUGAAGAUGAGCACUUUAAAAAUUAGCCGAAUAAUGCCUUCAGCUCUCCCCAUCUGUCUUGCCUGAAAAUCCCAACAGAUAUGUCUCUUACCGAUUGCUAAUAUAAUUUAAACACAUUUA